rnacentral:rRNA from 1 species
AUGAUUAACCAGCGAAAAAAAUUGUCUUGGAACGAGGCCUCCAGGUGCCCUCGAGCUCGCACUCGCAUGAGAUCCCUUCCAGGCCACCACGCCACACCACCAGAUCCCAUCGCCGCCACCUCGCACUCGCAUCCCAUCGCCGCCGCCCGUGCGUUCUCGAUCGGAGAGGACGCUCCCUUCGCCGCCGCUGAGAUCCGAGAAGAGUCGCCCUUCGCCGGCGCCAAGAUCCUGUGCCUCUCUAAAGACCCCUCUCUCUCGCGACACCGCCUCCCUUACAAGGACGCCAUGCCAUGGGUCUCCAUCGGUGCCACGACUGCCGCGGCCUCCCCACCUGCCGACGCUCUAGAUCCGGCCGUAGUUGAUUCCCUGUACAUCAUCUCAAGGAGGAGGGGCGUGAGGCGGUUGCCGCCGCCGGUGGCUGCACUUGAAGGUCUCCGCCGCUUGCUCCAACCAGAUCCAGCCAGACCGACCUGUGGUGGUCCACGUGCAUCUGGACGGACGCAACGGCUUUGCCUCCCCUGUCCCAUGUCUUCGUCCACCAGACCAUCCCAUUGCGCUGCUGCUACCCGGGCUCACAUGACCCCGUGGAGGAAGGAGCUGCGCAAGGAAUCACUGCCAAAAGACUCAAGAUGA